rnacentral:tRNA from 1 species
GGGCCGGUAGCUCAGCCUGGAAGAGCGCCGCCCUUGCAUGGCCUAAGGGGGCGCGACCGAGGUCGAGGAGAGGCGGAGGACCCGGGUUCAAAUCCCGGCCGGUCCA